GUAAAGGUGAGUAAAGUGCAAGAAAUUACCCCCUGGUUUGGGAAAAAACACCAAAUAGUUUUAGAGAUAAAUACAAAAAGAUUUAUAUCGCCAGCGGACAUGCUUGUAAAGGAUUAGGUAGUAGGUAAGUUAAUAGCUUAAUCUAGCCAACGAUCUUUAGUUGGUUUGUAAGAACGAUCAACCACACUAGAACUGAGACAAGGACUAGACUUUUUUGAAAGUCAGCAGUGAGGAAUAUUGGACAAUGAGCGAAAGCUUGAUCCAGCAAUAUUACGUGAAGGAUUGACAGCUUAUUUUUGGUUGUAAACUUCUUUUAAUAAGAGAGACGAUGACUAGCUUAAAAAAAAAGUCCCAUCUAAUUUCGUGCCAGCAGAUGCGGUAAUACGAAAGGGGCAAACGUUAUUCGAUGUAAUUUGGUGUAAAGCGUUUGUAGGUGGUAAUAAGGCAGUUUAAAAGUAAAUUAAAAGACUCAAUC
rnacentral:rRNA from 16 species